rnacentral:rRNA from 1 species
AGAAUAAAUAAUUUUAUUUAUUGUUAAAAAAAUAUUAAUAAUUAUUUAUUAGUAAUGAGAUGUUAUUCGUUUUUAAAUAUAUCUGGUUUAUUUAGAAAUGAAUUUAAUUCAGUCAUUUAUAUUAUAUUAAUUUAUUUUUUUAARUUAUUAUAUUUAAUURAUAAUAAUUAAAGGGAUUAGCUUUUAAUUAUAUUUCUAUAAUUGAUUUAUUAAAUUAAAGAUUUAUAGGUUUAGAAAUAUCCAUUAAUUAUAAUUUGUUAUAAUUAUUCUUUAAAUUAAUAUGAUUUGAUUAUAAGUUUAGAAAUUUAUAAAUAAAUAAUAUUUAAUUAAAUAAUAUUAGUUAUGAUGAUAAAAUUAGUAUAUUUAUAUAUUGAAUUAAUAGUUUUUUAUAGGUUAAUUAAAGGAAUUAGGCAAAAAUUUUAUUCGCCUGUUUAACAAAAACAUGUCCUUUAGAUAAUAUAAUUUAAGGUCUGACCUGCCCACUGAGAAAUUUAAAGGCCGCAGUAAUUUGACUGUGCAAAGGUAGCAUAAUCAUUAGUUUUUUAAUUAAAAGCUUGUAUGAAUGGUUGGACGAGAUAAAAUCUGUCUCUAGUUAAUAAAUAGAAUUUAAUUUUUAAGUUAAAAAGCUUAAAUUAAUAUAAAAGACGAGAAGACCCUAUAGAUCUUAAUAUAAUAUUUUAAAAUUUUAUUAAAGGUUAUUUUAUUAGUUUUAUUUUUUUAUAUUUUAUUGGGGUAAUAAAAAGAUUAAAUUAAUUCUUUUUUAWRUUUAACAAUAAUAAUUGAUUAUUUGAUCCAUUAAUAGUGAUUAUAAGAUUAAGUUACCUUAGGGAUAACAGCGUAAUUUUUUUAGAGAGUUCAUAUCGAUAAWAAAGUUUGCGACCUCGAUGUUGGAUUAAAAAUUAUUUUGGGUGUAGAAGUUCAAAAUUUUGGUCUGUUCGACCAUUAAAUUUUUACAUGAUCUGAGUUCAGACCGGCGUAAGCCAGGUCGGUUUCUAUCUUUAUUAAAUUAAUAUAUUUUAGUACGAAAGGACCAGAUAUUUAAUAUAUUUAUAUUUUUAUUUUGAUUAAUAUU